AUUGAACGCUGGCGGCAUGCCUUACACAUGCAAGUCGAACGGUAACAGGUCUUCGGAUGCUGACGAGUGGCGCACGGGUGCGUAAUACAUCGGAACGUGCCCGAUCGUGGGGGAUAACGAAGCGAAAGCUUUGCUAAUACCGCAUAAGAUCUACGGAUGAAAGCAGGGGACCGCAAGGCCUUGCGCGAACGGAGCGGCCGAUGGCAGAUUAGGUAGUUGGUGGGAUAAAAGCUUACCAAGCCGACGAUCUGUAGCUGGUCUGAGAGGACGACCAGCCACACUGGGACUGAGACACGGCCCAGACUCCUACGGGAGGCAGCAGUGGGGAAUUUUGGACAAUGGGCGAAAGCCUGAUCCAGCCAUGCCGCGUGCAGGAUGAAGGCCUUCGGGUUGUAAACUGCUUUUGUACGGAACGAAAAGACUCUGGUUAAUACCUGGGGUCCAUGACGGUACCGUAAGAAUAAGCACCGGCUAACUACGUG
rnacentral:rRNA from 1 species